rnacentral:lncRNA from 1 species
GGUUCAAUUGCCAAAUGAGAUCGCUUUCCACAAGAGACCAAAUGACCUGACAGAAUUUAACAACUAUAGUUCACCGUUCGGCCUUCAACAAUGAGCAAAGCGAAUACCCGCAUAGUCAGCUAUAAAAGGCCUCGAAAUUACAAUGGAAAUAAAACAAUGCAAAAAUAAACUGAUAACAAAUAUGUAACACAUCAACAAACGACAACCACCGAAUUACAGGCUCCUGACUUGAGACGGGCACAUACAUACAGCUCGUUUU